rnacentral:rRNA from 1 species
CCCGGGCCUUGUACACACCGCCCGUCACACCACGAGAGUUUGUAAUACCCGAAGCCGGUGGCCUAACCCUCUGGGAGGGAGCCGUCGAAGGUGGGAUCAGCGAUUGGGGUG